rnacentral:rRNA from 1 species
UACGAAGGGGGCUAGCGUUGUUCGGAAUUACUGGGCGUAAAGCGCACGUAGGCGGUUUUCCAAGUUGGAGGUGAAAUCCCUGGGCUUAACCCAGGAACUGCCCCCAAGACUGGAAGACUCGAGUCCGAGAGAGGUGAGUGGAAUUUCCAGUGUAGAGGUGAAAUUCGUAGAUAUUGGAAAGAACACCAGUGGCGAAGGCGGCUCACUGGCUCGGUACUGACGCUGAGGUGCGACAGCGUGGGGAGC